AUACUUAACCAAAUUAUUCAAACCCUUCCUAUUUAUUUUCCUAUAUUACAGGGUGGUUUACACAAAAACUAGAGUUGAUUUUGAUACCCUAAUAUAAAAUAUCAAGCCAUGAAUUUUCACGUUGUUUCUGAUAUUGAAGUGUGAGGUCUGAGUAUAUUUUGUAUUUUUCAGGAACAUUUCUUGAAGCAGAAGAUUGAGAAUGCGAUGGGUUCGGCAGCACCAACUGGUAAACAGAUUUCUUAUUUGAAAAAACUAGGUUGCACGGUGACCCCUACGUCAAAGCUCCAUGCGUCCCAUCUUAUUGAACAAUACAAAUCAUUGUAAAAAAUUUAGAAGUGCUAUCUUUUAUUUCCCCUUUUCCGGCCCCAUUGUAAUGUAUCCGUGAGUAUUGGAAGCCCAAGCUAGUCCUCAACCUUGUAUAAUAUAUUUCCUAGGCUGCAUCCAACUUUGGUGAAAUAUGUAUAUAGAUGUGCUAUUUUAACUUAUAUAAUGUAAGGUUAAAAUUUUGCCAAUUUCUAUGUUAUGGACCAAUUACUUUCGUUACU